rnacentral:rRNA from 1 species
ACCCAAUAGAUACCCCGGUAGUCCACGCCGUAAACGAUGCAGACUAGGUAUCAGAAGUAUCGACCCUUCUUGUACCAAAAAGCUAAACGCGUUAAGUCUGCCGCCUGGGAAGUACGGUCGCAAGACUAAAACUCAAAGGAAUUGACGGGGACUCGCACAAGCGGUGGAGCAUGUGGUUUAAAUUCGACAACAAACGAAGAACCUUACCAGGGUUUGACAUCUAGAGGACCCCGAGGAAACUUGGGGGUGCCCGCAAGGGAGCUUUAAGACAGGUGCUGCACGGUCGUCGUCAGCUCGUGUCGUGAGAUGUGGCCUUAAGUGGUCAAACGAGCGAAACCUGUGUCCUUAGUUGAUUUUCUAAGGAGACUGCCUCGGUUUACGGGGAGGAAGGCGCAGAUGACGUCAGAUCAGCGUGGCUCUUACAUCCUGGGCUACACACGUGCUACAAUGGCAGUUUAUAAAAAGACGCAAGACCGCAAGGUGGAGCAAAUCUACUAAAAACUGCCCAGUACGGAUUGAGGGCUGAAAUUCGCCCUCAUGAAGCCGGAAUCGCUAGUAACC